GACGAACCGUGCGAACGUUAUUCGGAAUCACUGGGCUUAAAGCGCGUGUAGGCGGAUCGGCACGUCCGUGGCUGAAAGCCCCCGGCUCAACCGGGGAAGGGGCGCGGAUACGGCCGAUCUGGAGGGGGGUAGGGGGACCUGGAACUUCCGGUGGAGCGGUGAAAUGCUUGAGGAAUCGGAAGGAACGCCCGUGGCGAAAGCGAGGUCCUGGACCCUUU
rnacentral:rRNA from 1 species